rnacentral:lncRNA from 1 species
UGACUUUGAACUUGUGAUCCUCCUGCCUCAGCCUCCCAGACUGCAGGGAUUACAGGAGUGUGCCACCAUACCUGGUUUCCUCCACCUUUUUCUCCAUGGCUGAUGCUCCCCCACAGUGGAAAGGGUGAUCAUCUUACUCAGGCUGUUGAUUCAAAUGCUUAUCUCUUUUGGGAAACACCACCACAGACACACUCAGAAACACUGUUUUACCAGCUAUCUGGGCCACCCUGGGCCCAACCCAGUCGACACACAAGUUAACCAACAUACCCAAUAUGCUCUUGGUCAUUUCCAUUUUAAAAUGAAAAGAUAAAGAUGAAUUUAAGUGAAUGGGCAGAGUUAGUAUGUGCUACAUUUGGAAUCUAAAGCCAGGACUCAUGAUUCCAAAUGCAGCAUUCAUUCCAAGAUUUCACAAAAAUGUUCCAGGUCUACUGUCAAUUCAUCAUUUGUUUAAUAUUUUCUUGUACUCAGUGGUUUCAAAGCUUGGGUAGGUGGGAGAAGGGAUCAGAGGGCAUAGAAGGAAAGAAGACAAGGCAGGGGUGUGGGGGUAUGAAUAAUUGCAUACCAUGGCCCUGGCCUCCAAGACAAGCCUACUGCUCAUGACAUGUGAGGGACGUGUACUCCAGUGGGUGAUGAAGCGCCAACUUACAUGCAGGAGACUGUGAGACUGGGGUUUUCAAGAAGGAUUAGUCAUCAAAGAAAAAGAAGAAUUUCAGAAUUUGGGCUUUGAAGGAUGGGCAGAAUCUUUAUUUCCCCCAGGUAGAUGGGUGGCUUUCUCAAGGAGGGAAAUAUCUCUGUAGGUGGAGUAAGAAUGUCCCCUUCUGGAGAGGACAGGUGGAAUUAAAGAGAGUGGAUGGAGAAUCAAAACUUCUAAAUGUAAAACAUGAAGAGAGGAAAGAAAGAACCAUUCAGAAAAGAUGGAAGUGUGACAUAAUUCUUAAAAUAAAACACCAAAGUUCUUAAAUAAUCAUAUUUAGAAUAAAAAAAAAGGAUGCCCCUUAGACUGGGUGGCUCCUAAAUAAGACACAUUUAGGAGACAUGCUUCUCAGUUCUGGAGCUUGAAAAUCUAAGGCUUUAAAGAUUCUGUGUCUAUUGAGGGCCUGCUUCUUGGAGCACAGAUGGCUCUUUCACUGUGUUCUUUCUUGGUGGAAGAGGGGUGAGGAAGCUUUCCAGAGUCUUCUAGAAGGGUGCUGAUCCCAUUUAUGAUCACAAGUCACCUUCCGGAGCCCCUCCUCAUGAUACCAUCACGUUGAUGGUUUGGAUUUCAACAUAUGAAUUUCGGGGGAACCCAUACCUGGUCUAUGGCGUAUGAGCUACCAGGGAGAAAGUAAGAUGAGCAGCAUGCCUUUGAUGUUCCACGUCCCAUGUCAUCAGGGAAAUAAAAUGAUAGCAAGAUACCACUACACACCUAUUAGAAUGAAAACUCCAGAACCCAGGCCACGCAAAUGCUGACAGGUCGAGGAACAACAGGAGCUCUGGCUCAGUGCUGGUGACAAUUCAGAAUGGCACAGGCCCUUUGGAAGACAGUUUGGUUGUUUCUUAGACAACUAAGCAUCAUUACCAAACUGCCCAGCAAUCACACUCCUCGGGGUUUACCCGAAGAAGUUGAAAACUUAUGUUCACACAAUUAUCUGCAUAUGGAUGUUGAUAACAGAUGUAUUUAUAACUGCCAAAACUUGGAAGAAAUCCAUAUUUCUUUAUUAGGUGAAUGGAUCAACUGUAGUUAUAUCUAGACAGUAGAAUGUUAUUCUGUACUAAAAGGAAAUGAACUACCUAACCAUGAAAAGACAUGGAAACUUGAAUGCAUAUUAAUAAGUAAAAGGAACCCAUCUGAAAAAGCAAUGUGCUGUGUGAAUCCAAUUACAUGACAUUCUGGAAACAGAAAACCAAUGAACAGUAAAAAGGUAAGUUGUUGCCAGGGUUUAGGAGAUGGAGGGGCCUAGGCAGAGCACAGAAGAGUUCUAGAACAGGGAAAGCAUCUGUAAGCUCCUAUAGUGGUGGAUUUGAUACAAGUCAUUAUGCAUAUUUGUCCAAACUCAUAGAACAUGCAGUAUCAAGGGUGGACCCUAAGGUGAACUAUGCACUUUGAGUGAAAGGUGUCAGGUGAGCCCAGGAAGGUCAUGCAUGUGCAGGCCAGAGAGCAGAUGUGGAUUGGACCUUCUUCUCAGUUUUGCUAAGAACCUAUGACUGCUCUAAAAAGUGUCUUAAAAAAAGCAUUCCAUCUUUAUUCCUCAAUUCUUUUCGCAAGCAGGGCUAUAUGUGGAAGAACUCCAGGAGGGAAGCUGUAAUCCUUAAUUCAUUCAUAUCUAGCCACACCACAGCCUGGAUUGGUUUAUUACAUUAACUCACAGUCAUCUGGGAAAAGCAGAAAAUAUUUUACACAGAACGACUAACCUGGCUUCCUGCCUUCAAUCUUUUCAUUUCAAACCAGAAGUCUUCAAGCUCUUUUUUGGACAACAAUAUUAAGAAAUUAUUUUUACAUCACAAUGCAAGACACACAAACCUAGAACUGAAAUUCUUUUGUAAAAUGCACAUCAUUCUUUUCUUUUCUGUUCUAUUCCAUUCUAGUUUAUUUUAUGUAUUUUAAACAGUGCUGGUUACCACUCACUAAACUGGAUGAGUCAUGACCUGCAGUUUGAAAAACAGUGACUCAGGCUGAGCUCUAGUAAGCCAGCAGAAAUUUAGACUCAGCUGAGUAGUUCAAGGUCAUGGCAAACUUGUCACCUGACCUGUUCACACCUUGGAUCCUGCUCUGGUAUCAGGCUCUUGCUUUGUUUCUUGUACUUCAAUUCCAAUGCUGAAAUGCUAUUUUGGACCCUAGCACAAUACCGUCUGCUCAUUCCUCCUCACUAAAGUCUUGCUUCUGAGCUCCUGGUCAUGUGGCUGUGUCCCUACACUGUGCUUGUACUUGCUCAGCUAUGGCACCUGCCCCAGUACCAUGUGCUGGGUAGACCCUCUGUAGCUGUUAAAUAAUAGAUGUCUGACAGUGACGACCUGCUGCCUACCAUUGAGCCGGUGUGAUACUGACAUUCUGCCUGGCGGGACUUCCUGCCAAGCCCGGGACAGCCCCCCUGAGUCUCUCUGUUCUUUCUAUAGCCCACUUUGAGUUAAGCCAAUCCCAGCUUUGCCACUGAGAGAGGGAGUUUGCCACUGAGACAGGGUUUGGGGACCCAUCAGGAUGGAGGCUGAGAGCGAGAAGCUCUUAGGAACAGGAUAAUAGGUCUCAGGGUAUCUGAGACAGAAGAUCAGGGGGGCAGCAGAGGAAGAAGCUGGUG